CUUGCGCGGAGGGUCACCAACCUCGGUGAAAGACAACAGCCAUGCCCAUGUCCCCUUGUUUUGUGUUUCCGAUGGCGCGCACCACCCACGGUUUCUCUCUUCCGGGCUUCCGGCCUUGGGUUCAGGACAAAACAACCGGACCCAUCGUUUUCUAUGCCAAACCUCGCCUAUACAUAGCAGAGAGCGCAAUAUUUCUCUUCCAGAUUUCCAUUCCUCUGCAGUUAAAAAGUUCCCAUUCCAUGGCUCCCUCGGCGGCGAUGCUCUUCCUAAGCUACCACCAGUGGAAACCCAAGCCCUCCCCUCAACCUCUUCCCAGUGCUCCUCCUCCUGCCGCCGCUGAUACUUCGUUUCUGGUGAAGUUCUCCAGAAGCCCGGUCUCGCGUCCCUCCUCGCUGCCGGCUGAGCCCGCUGCUCAGGCAGAAGCGAAAGCGUCCGACGCCAGCACCAAACGACAUCCGACCACGGAGGACAAGUUCCAGGAGGCACUUGAGCUCGGCUGUUGGUCCUUGUGAGGGACAAUACUCAGCCGUACAGCCAUCUUCGUGCAAAAUGUAAAGUUCUUGCUAGAUCUAUGUAUCAUAUGUUACUCCACAAGGCGUUCCGUGCCCUCUCAAAUUAUGUGCAUCAACGCUCUCCAAAGAUGUCGAUUAAAGGUGGAUUUUGAAGCUGUAGGCCUUUACGCUCUCAGAAUCCUCCAAUUCUCUUCUCUCUGGCUUUGAUCUGCCAGAUGGUAUCCCAACUUCAUACCAUUUUUUUUUCUCAAAAUGAAAUAGAAAAUUCUGGCGAAAUCAAUCCACGAGCAGAUGAGGGGUUUUGACAGGUCACAUUGUUUGUCUCUUUCCUUGUUCUUCUCGAAAUAUUCAAGUUUUUGGAGUCUCCGUGGAGCGAUUACAGGAGUGGAAGAAUCAUAUUGGAUCGAUCUGUGCCAGAACUGAAUUAUCGGCGUUGCGUUCUUAGAUCUCAGAAAUAAUAAAAGAUAAUAUAUUGCCGGAACUGAAUUAUCUUUACUGGAUUCCUCGUUCUCAGAAAUAAUAAAAGUAACAUAUUGCCAGAUCCGAAUCCGAAUCCGAAUCCGAAUCGUGCCACUGCAUCCCGCCUCGCAAAAUCUGAGCCCUCUUCCCCCUAUAAAUGUUUCUCUUAUUCCCAGAGAGAGUCGCAUCGAUGAAGGAACUGCCCAAUUCCACUUUCUUCUUUCUGUCGAUCUUUGCCUCUCACUCGUAUAUCGCAGUUGAGGGCUGCUUGCAUGGAGAGCUGGAUGAGGUGUACGCCUCGAUUCGGCAUGUCGAGAAGAUUGAGGACAUAAAAAUCGACCUCCUAAUCCGCUGUGGCGACUUCCAGGCAGUCAGGAAUGAAAAUGAUCUUGAGAGCUUGAGUUGCGACCACCAAAAUAUCGGAGUAUGAACUCAUUCUGGAAGUAUUACUCUGGACAAGAAGUAGCACCUGUUCUGACUAUAUAUAUAUUGGUGGGAACCAUGACGCAUCAAAUUAUUUAUGGGAACUGUAUUAUGGAGGCUGGGCUGCACCUAAUAUAUAUUUCUUGGUCUUUUCUGGAGUUAUUAAAUUUGUCAACAUUCGAAUUGGUGGGAUUUUUGGGAUUUAUAAACAAGGCCAUUAUCAUCUAGAUCAAGAAGAGGACUCUAGGCAGGCAAAACCAACAUAAGGCACACUAAUAGUUUUCAGGUCAUAUUCACUGUAAUUUUACAGCUGCUAUUCAGCGCAAGAAGGAUGAGUCUAUCACAAGGUUUGUUGCUCUUGACAAAUGUGUUCCAGAUUGUUGAUAUCAACUCAGAUCCAGGCCCAUAUGAAAUUCGGCAUGAUGCGGACUGGCUGGUAAUAACAAGGAAGUUCAAUAGUAUCUGUUCAAUAGUAUCUUUCCGUUGAGCUGAAGAACUGUUCCUUUGAGAUCUGAACAGCUCGACAAGCAAGGUUAUCGAGCGUGGGUGAGGAAUAAGUUAAAUACUAGAGGAGCCAGACUUUUUGAUUUUGUGCAGACUGUUUCACCCUUUGAUCCUUCUCAGCCACUCACAGAAACUUCAACUUCAGUGGUCUAAGGGAGAGGUCGAGGACUAUGCAGGAGGCAUGUGUUUCGUUGUGGAAGAUAUUUUUCAAUAUCUAAAUUGACCUUUUUGACUUUACUACCCUGGUUAAGUAAUUUGCCACCUCUUCCUCCUUUGCCUCACGGAGCCAAUUCCAUUCCGUGUAUCCAUUAUACGGGCAUGCAAACAAGACUCGAGACACUAGUCUCAGGGCAAUAGAGCAAAUAGAACAAUUGAUUUGUGCAAGAGAACAAUCCAUUUAUGGGGUGCCUCAUUCAUCUUUAAGAGCAAUACAACAAUUCAAUAAUUUCUUUUCUAUGAUUUGUUGUAAUGGACUUUUAGCUUUUAGUCGUCAUAAGGUUACAUGUAUCAAUGCUUGUCCUAGUGUUUAUGGUCCAUGAAUGUGGUACCGGUGUAUCAUUUUCACAAUUUAAUGCUUAAUCUGUUCCAAAAGCUACAUGACAAUGUCGGAACCCUUACCGUUGCUGGACCUCCCAUAUCUUCUUAUACUAUUGCAGAGGCUAGCAUGUCAACACAAAAUAUCAAAUUUUUUAGAGUUAAAGGUUCAUUUUAUUGAUUUAG